rnacentral:lncRNA from 1 species
CUGAAGGCAGCAUGCAAAUUCGAAUGAGCUGAUUUUACACCAGUGCAUAAAAUAUUGUUAAUUCCUUUAUUUCCUUAGGGCGAAAGACGGAAGCUGUAGCCAGGGAACAGUUUGAGCAGAAAACAGGAGGGCCUGUUUUGCAGGUUGGUCUCAUUGUGCAUCUGAAGCAACCAUGGCUGUGUGCCAGCCCUGACGGACUUUUCAAGUAUGGAGACCAAACAACUCUGCUGGAAAUUAAGUGCCCGUACUCCAGGAAAGACGAUGUACUUAGCGACCACACCAAGGAAUCAAGCUUCAUUAGGUACAUUGUGUACAGAGAUGGACACUUGGAAGUGAACAAGCGCCAUCAGUAUUACACACAAAUGCAAAUUACAAUGCAUGUAACAAGCACGACAAUGUGUGUUUUUUUUGUUUACUCCUCCAAGCAAACUGUCACAAUUGUUGUUGAACGUGAUGAGCACUUUUUGUCAGAGGCAAUUCCCAGGCUAGAACAUUUUUAUUUUAAUUUCUAUAAUCAGCACCUUGUUUAGAGUUAUUUGCUGCAUAUAAGUAUGAGGGGAAGUCAAAAAGUAAAGGGACUUUUGAGAAAAGGCACAUUUAUUCUAAUGAUAAACUGAAACAUACAUUUUUCUACAUAACCUCCCUGCACUUCAACGCAGUUUGCCCAAUAUUUCACAAGCUUCUUUAUUCCGUCGUAAAAAAAAGUUUUUUUUGGUUGCACCUGUAACCAAUUUUGCACCGCGUCAAUGACUUCUACAUCGGUUGCAAAUCUUCUUCCCCUGAGCGCUUCCUUCACUGGUCCAAAUAUAUGAAAAUCGCUUGGAGUUAGGUGUGGACUGUAUGGUAGGUGUUCCAGCAAUUUAAAUCCAAGCUCCUUUAUGUUUCGGCUGUCCAUUUGGCAGAAUGUGGCUGAGCGUUAUCUUGCUGCAGGAUGACACCUUUAAUGCAGUUUUCCACGACGUUUUAAUCUGAUUGCAGGUUUGUUUAGUUCACAACAUAUCACGAUAGUUCUCACUGUUCACACUUUCCCCUCUUGGGCUGACAUGAACGGCUACCACACCUUCCAUGUCCCAGAAUAGUGUUAGCAUAAUCUUACCAGCUGAUGGUUGACGUUUAAAUUUCUUAACUUCUGGUGAUGAGUGUUUCCAAACCAUGCUCGCAGCCUUACUUUGCGGUUCGUGAUGAUGCACCCAAGUUUCGUCUACAGUAACAAUUCACUGUAAAAAUUCAUCUCCAUCGCAACGAUAACAAGCCAAAUGUUUACGAGAGAUGUCCAACCUUCGUGCCUUAUGCUGCACUGACAAUUCUUUUGGGACCCACCUUGCGCAUACUUUCCGAAAAUGGAGCUGCCAUGUUUAGCAGUCUGUUACACUCUAACGACUAACGCAAGAACAAGAGUGAGACGUUCCAUAGAAGCGUUGUAGACAACAAUAAUUCAGCGCUGGAUGCUAGCAGUGCUAUCAAACCUUAGUGCCUUUGCUUUUUCACUUCCCCUCGUAUAUCACAGGUGGCUUGCAGUGGAGUGGGAACUGCAGGCAAAUGGCAACAGCUUCCACACUUGUCACAUUGGCUGAGGAGUGUCUGAUUAGAGUACACUCGUGGCAAGCAGUCACCUCACACAUGUAGCUUCUGAGACACUGCUAACCACUUGUAAGAUGAAGCAAGUUUGUACAGGUCUUGCUUGGCUUAUCUAGCGUUGAAACAAUAUGUGCUGUGCAGUGAAAGGGCCAAGUAUUUAUACGAGUGUAUGGGUAAGUGAGAAAUGUUUGUGCUAUGAUAUUUAUUGUUUUGCAUCACUAAGAGUUGCAGAGAUGUGCCAAAGCUUUCAAAUAAACUUUUUAUUACAUGUUAAA